UACGGAGGGUGCAAGCGUUAUUCGGAAUUACUGGGCGUAAAGCGUGCGCAGGCGGUUUGUUAAGUCCGCUGUGAAAUCCCCGAGCUCAACUUGGGAAUUGCAGUGGAUACUGGCAAGCUGGAGUAUGGUAGAGGAAGGUGGAAUUCCCGGUGUAGCAGUGAAAUGCGUAGAGAUCGGGAGGAACACCAGUGGCGAAGGCGGCCUUCUGGACCAAUACUGACGCUCAUGCACGAAAGCGUGGGGAGCAAACAGG
rnacentral:rRNA from 1 species